AUGAGGGCUCUUGUUCAGUUCUUUGGGCUCCUGUUACUCUGGCUUCCAGGUGCCAGAUGUGACAUCCAGAUGACCCAGUCUCCAACCUCCCUGUCUGCAUCUCUGGGAGAAAGAGUCACCAUCAAAUGUCGGGCAAGUCAGAACAUUAAUAGUGCUUUAGCAUGGUAUCAGCAGAAAGCAGGGAAAGCUCCUAAGCUCUUGAUCUAUGCUGCAAAGUACUUGGCAGAUGGGGUCCCAUCGAGGUUCAGUGGCAGUGGGUCUGGGACAGAUUAUUCUCUCAACAUCAACGACCUGUAG